rnacentral:rRNA from 1 species
GCCAGUAUCUACCCACCCUGAAGGCACCUAAUCUGAUCUGAUCUCGUGAAGCUAAGCAGGUUCGGGCCUGGUUAGUACUUGGAUGGGAGAUCACCUGGGAAUACCGGGUGCUGCAGACU